ensembl:lncRNA
GAGACGAUGCCUGUAGAAACCCGCUGUAGUGCAGGCGCGUAGGAGAGCGGAGUGAGGAGGAAUCUGCCUCCUGCCCUAUUAGCACUCCUAAUAAAAAGGGAAAAAAGUCUGUUUACCUAAUGGGCUAGUAGUAUAAGCCAUAGACUAACUUUAAAAAUGCACUUGAAGGAUUCGGGCAUCAGCAACAUGCAUCCAGAGCCAACUAGUUAGGAGAAAGGCACCGAUGUAUUGUGGACAUACGGGAUACCGAGUCAGUAUAAGAGCAAGCCUCCAAGUCCUGGGUCCUGUCUGAUACCAUGCCACUAUCCACGAUUAAUGGAAUCUUACUAAUAUGAAGCUUACUUACUAAAACCAUUGACCUGUCCUCCUUCUGUGACGCUGUAAAGAGUAUGAACGGAUGCUCUUGAAUCUCUUUUAACAAACUUAAAAUGUCCUCCAAUAUCCUGCAUAAACCACAUGCUGCCUUACCUACUCCUGGCCUUCCUGCACAUAGCCACCAACAUGAUCAUCCCAAAUCAAAAAUCUGACCAUGUCAGGCCCAACCUUCCUGGGCUCUCAACGGCCUAUGGCAUAAAAAACAAGCAUAGUCCUUCAUGAUCUGGCCUCUGCCCACCUCUAUGCUCAGCAAUGCCCCCACUGCCCCACCACGUGCUUAUUUUAAGUUUGUUCUCUGUAUACGCUAUCUACACACACUGGUUAAGAGCAUGGCUGCAUGUGAAUUCCAGCUCUGCCGCUAACUAGAAUGUGACCUUGGACAAGUUACUUAUUUUUCUGCAUUUAGGUUCCUCACCUAUAGAGUAGGAAAAAUAGUAGUGUCUAAAAUAAAGAGUUGAGAAAAUUAAAUAAUUAGUAGGUAUAACACACUUAGAAUAGCGUCUGGAAAUAAAUAUUAUUUUAGCUAUUCCUACUAUUAUCCAAUAUAAUCAUCAUGAAAUGAUGCAGAAUCAUAUUUCUACUUUUGGAUGCAAAAACCUGGUGCACAGAAAGAUUAAAUAACAACAUUAGCUAACAGAGAUGGGAUCUGAGCCCUGAUGUCUCUGAAAUCGGCAUGGAAUGCUGUCCACUCUGCCAGGCCUCCUCCUGCCCCCUCAUCAGAGGGAACUGCCUACUCUGUUGUGAAAGAGCCAAGGCAUCUCUCACCUCUGUUCCAUUGCCUGGAAACCCUGCAUCCCACCUCGGUCCAGCGAAGGCCUACUCUGCCUUCAGCAUUCAGCACAAGUAUCAUUUCAUCCCUGGGAGACUUCCAACCCUCUCCAAGUGGCUCAGGUGACUGCCUUGGUCUAAGCAUGCCCUGCACUUUCCGCUGUCACAAUCCAUGCUGCGCUUUAUCGCCGUUGCUUCUCUACCUCUAUGCCGUGACAUGCUUGAGGGUGGCAACCAGGACUUAUUUACUCCCCUAUCCCCUAAACAAAUGAGUGCAUAAGUGAACCUUAGUCGUGUCCUGUGGAAGCCUAUGAUCCCUGGCACUAGAAGGAGUAGCUGAGAGAACUCACGUAGGAAAAGGAGACACAUGGUGCCUUGGCCUGGUCAAUGGCCAAAUGGGUAACCUCCAGUUUCUUUACCCACACAAAAGUGAUAAUAAAACACCACUUGUAUGCAUUUAAGGAUUUGAAGGGGAGAUCAAAUGAGGAAAAUGAAUGGGACAGCCCAUGACAUCCAUGGGAGAUAUUCACAAAUGACAUAUUCUCUUCUCCCCCUCAUGUCCUUACAGCUAAUACCAGACUCAAUAUUUUCAGAUAUGCCCCAAGAGGACUUGAAAUUAAGUCUGUCCCUUGUCCAGUAAAACCCUAGUGUUUGUGUUGGCAUCUCUGUGCAUACUCCAGGGAGCCCUGGCAUGUGGUCAUUGACUGGGAACUUCUGUGUGGAAUCACCUCAACACAGAAACAAAUAUUGGGACUGUUUCUAAGUUUCCUCCAAUGGACCCCCUUAGCCUUGAAUUUACAGUAACAGAAGCACAGCCCGUGGGAGGACCCUGAAGGUCCAAGAGUCCAGACUCUACAUGACUCCGUCUGUAGAGGAUCCAACUGAGAAGCAGAAGUGGGGUGACUUGGGGCUGGCCCCGUGGCAGAGUGGUUAAGUUCACGCGCUCUGCUGCCAGUGGCCCACUGUUUCAUUGGUUCGGAUCUGGAGCGCGGACAUGGCACUGCUCAUCAAGCCACGCUGAGGCAGCGUCCCA